rnacentral:tRNA from 1 species
GAUUAAAUGGCUGAAGUUUAGGCAAUAAAUUGUAAAUUUAUUCAUACGGAUAUCCUUUUUAAUCA